rnacentral:rRNA from 1 species
GAUGAACGCUGGCGGCGUGCCUAAUACAUGCAAGUCGAGCGAACAGACGCGGCUCUUGCUCCUCUGACGUUGGCGACGGGCGGGUGAGUAACACGUGGAUAACCUACCUCUAAGACUUGGAUAACUUCGGGAAACCGUAGUUAAUACCAGAUAAUAUCUUGAACCGCAUGGUUCAAUAGUGAAGGACGGUUUUGCUGUCACUUCUCGACGUAUCCGCGCCGCAUUAGGUAGUUGGUAAGGUAACGGCUUACCAGGGAGACGAUGCGAAGCAGACCUGAGAGGGUGAUCGGCCACAGUGGAACUGAGGCACGGUCGAGACUCCUACGGGGGGCAGCAGUAGGGAAGCGGCCGCAAUGGGGGAAAGCCUGAAAGAGCAGCGCGGCGGGAGUGACGAAGGUCUUCGGAUCGUAAAGCUCUGUUAGUUGGGAAGAACAAAUGUGUAAGUAACUGUGCACGUCGUGACGGUACCUGAUCAGAAAGCCACGGCUAACUACGUG